UUAAGUUAUUAAGGGCGCACGGUGGAUGCCUUGGCACUAGAAACCGAUGAAGGACGUUACUAACGACGAUAUGCUUUGGGGAGCUGUAAGUAAGCUUUGAUCCAGAGAUUUCCGAAUGGGGAAACCCAGCAUGAGUUAUGUCAUGUUAUCGAUAUGUGAAUACAUAGCAUAUCAGAAGGCACACCCGGAGAACUGAAACAUCUUAGUACCCGGAGGAAGAGAAAGAAAAUUCGAUUCCCUUAGUAGCGGCGAGCGAAACGGGAAGAGCCCAAACCAACAAGCUUGCUUGUUGGGGUUGUAGGACACUCUAUACGGAGUUACAAAGGACGACAUUAGACGAAUCAUCUGGAAAGAUGAAUCAAAGAAGGUAAUAAUCCUGUAGUCGAAAAUGUUGUCUCUCUUGAGUGGAUCCUGAGUACGACGGAGCACGUGAAAUUCCGUCGGAAUCUGGGAGGACCAUCUCCUAAGGCUAAAUACUCUCUAGUGACCGAUAGUGAACCAGUACCGUGAGGGAAAGGUGAAAAGCACCCCGGAAGGGGAGUGAAAUAGAACCUGAAACCGUGUGCUUACAAGUAGUCAGAGCCCGUUAAUGGGUGAUGGCGUGCCUUUUGUAGAAUGAACCGGCGAGUUACGAUUUGAUGCAAGGUUAAGCAGUAAAUGUGGAGCCGUAGCGAAAGCGAGUCUGAAUAGGGCGUUUAGUAUUUGGUCGUAGACCCGAAACCAGGUGAUCUACCCUUGGUCAGGUUGAAGUUCAGGUAACACUGAAUGGAGGACCGAACCGACUUACGUUGAAAAGUGAGCGGAUGAACUGAGGGUAGCGGAGAAAUUCCAAUCGAACCUGGAGAUAGCUGGUUCUCUCCGAAAUAGCUUUAGGGCUAGCCUCAAGUGAUGAUUAUUGGAGGUAGAGCACUGUUUGGACGAGGGGCCCCUCUCGGGUUACCGAAUUCAGACAAACUCCGAAUGCCAAUUAAUUUAACUUGGGAGUCAGAACAUGGGUGAUAAGGUCCGUGUUCGAAAGGGAAACAGCCCAGACCACCAGCUAAGGUCCCAAAAUAUAUGUUAAGUGGAAAAGGAUGUGGCGUUGCCCAGACAACUAGGAUGUUGGCUUAGAAGCAGCCAUCAUUUAAAGAGUGCGUAAUAGCUCACUAGUCGAGUGACACUGCGCCGAAAAUGUACCGGGGCUAAACAUAUUACCGAAGCUGUGGAUUGUCCUUUGGACAAUGGUAGGAGAGCGUUCUAAGGGCGUUGAAGCAUGAUCGUAAGGACAUGUGGAGCGCUUAGAAGUGAGAAUGCCGGUGUGAGUAGCGAAAGACGGGUGAGAAUCCCGUCCACCGAUUGACUAAGGUUUCCAGAGGAAGGCUCGUCCGCUCUGGGUUAGUCGGGUCCUAAGCUGAGGCCGACAGGCGUAGGCGAUGGAUAACAGGUUGAUAUUCCUGUACCACCUAUAAUCGUUUUAAUCGAUGGGGGGACGCAGUAGGAUAGGCGAAGCGUGCGAUUGGAUUGCACGUCUAAGCAGUAAGGCUGAGUAUUAGGCAAAUCCGGUACUCGUUAAGGCUGAGCUGUGAUGGGGAGAAGACAUUGUGUCUUCGAGUCGUUGAUUUCACACUGCCGAGAAAAGCCUCUAGAUAGAAAAUAGGUGCCCGUACCGCAAACCGACACAGGUAGUCAAGAUGAGAAUUCUAAGGUGAGCGAGCGAACUCUCGUUAAGGAACUCGGCAAAAUGACCCCGUAACUUCGGGAGAAGGGGUGCUCUUUAGGGUUAACGCCCAGAAGAGCCGCAGUGAAUAGGCCCAAGCGACUGUUUAUCAAAAACACAGGUCUCUGCUAAACCGUAAGGUGAUGUAUAGGGGCUGACGCCUGCCCGGUGCUGGAAGGUUAAGAGGAGUGGUUAGCUUCUGCGAAGCUACGAAUCGAAGCCCCAGUAAACGGCGGCCGUAACUAUAACGGUCCUAAGGUAGCGAAAUUCCUUGUCGGGUAAGUUCCGACCCGCACGAAAGGCGUAACGAUUUGGGCACUGUCUCAACGAGAGACUCGGUGAAAUCAUAGUACCUGUGAAGAUGCAGGUUACCCGCGACAGGACGGAAAGACCCCGUGGAGCUUUACUGUAGCCUGAUAUUGAAAUUCGGCACAGCUUGUACAGGAUAGGUAGGAGCCUUUGAAACGUGAGCGCUAGCUUACGUGGAGGCGCUGGUGGGAUACUACCCUAGCUGUGUUGGCUUUCUAACCCGCACCACUUAUCGUGGUGGGAGACAGUGUCAGGCGGGCAGUUUGACUGGGGCGGUCGCCUCCUAAAAGGUAACGGAGGCGCUCAAAGGUUCCCUCAGAAUGGUUGGAAAUCAUUCAUAGAGUGUAAAGGCAUAAGGGAGCUUGACUGCGAGACCUACAAGUCGAGCAGGGUCGAAAGACGGACUUAGUGAUCCGGUGGUUCCGCAUGGAAGGGCCAUCGCUCAACGGAUAAAAGCUACCCCGGGGAUAACAGGCUUAUCUCCCCCAAGAGUUCACAUCGACGGGGAGGUUUGGCACCUCGAUGUCGGCUCAUCGCAUCCUGGGGCUGUAGUCGGUCCCAAGGGUUGGGCUGUUCGCCCAUUAAAGCGGUACGCGAGCUGGGUUCAGAACGUCGUGAGACAGUUCGGUCCCUAUCCGUCGUGGGCGUAGGAAAUUUGAGAGGAGCUGUCCUUAGUACGAGAGGACCGGGAUGGACAUACCUCUGGUGUACCAGUUGUCGUGCCAACGGCAUAGCUGGGUAGCUAUGUGUGGACGGGAUAAGUGCUGAAAGCAUCUAAGCAUGAAGCCCCCCUCAAGAUGAGAUUUCCCAACUUCGGUUAUAAGAUCCCUCAAAGAUGAUGAGGUUAAUAGGUUCGAGGUGGAAGCAUGGUGACAUGUGGAGCUGACGAAUACUAAUCGAUCGAAGACUUAAUCAA
rnacentral:rRNA from 1 species